rnacentral:piRNA from 1 species
UAGGAAAGGCCUAUUCAGAUCAAUCGGU